UACGUAGGGGGCAAGCGUUGUCCGGAAUCAUUGGGCGUAAAGCGCGUGUAGGCGGUUCGGUAAGUCAGCUGUGAAAGUCAAGGGCUCAACCCUUGAAUGCCGGUUGAUACUGUCGGGCUAGAGUCCGGAAGAGGCGAGUGGAAUUCCCGGUGUAGCGGUGAAAUGCGUAGAUAUCUGGAGGAACACCGGUGGCAAAGGCGACAUCCUGGACCAAUACUGACGCUGAGUGAGCGAAAGCCAGGGGAGCAAACGGG
rnacentral:rRNA from 1 species